rnacentral:rRNA from 1 species
CUACGGGUGGCUGCAGUGAGGAAUAUUGCACAAUGGGGGGAACCCUGAUGCAGCAACGCCGCGUGGAGGAUGACGCAUUUCGGUGUGUAAACUCCUUUUAUAUGUCAAGAAAAUGACGGUAGCAUAUGAAUAAGCACCGGCUAACUCCGUGCCAGCAGCCGCGGUAAUACAGAGGGUGCAAGCGUUACUCGGAAUCACUGGGCGUAAAGGACGCGUAGGCGGGUUGGAAAGUCAGGUGUGAAAUCCUACAGCUUAACUGUAGAACUGCACUUGAAACUACGAGCCUAGAGUAUGGGAGGGGAAGAUGGAAUUAGUGGUGUAGGGGUAAAAUCCGUAGAGAUCACUAGGAAUACCUAAAGCGAAGGCGAUCUGCUGGAACAUAACUGACGCUAAGGCGUGAAAGCGUGGGGAGCAAACAGGAUUAGAUACCCCCGUAGUC